UACGUAGGGGGCAAGCGUUGUCCGGAAUCAUUGGGCGUAAAGCGCGUGUAGGCGGCCAGAAAAGUCCGCUGUGAAAACUCGAGGCUCAACUUCGAGCUGUCGGUGGAAACUUUCUGGCUAGAGUCCGGAAGAGGAGAAUGGAAUUCCUGGUGUAGCGGUGAAAUGCGCAGAUAUCAGGAAGAACACCCGGGGCGAAGGCGGUUCUCUGGGACGGUACUGACGCUGAGACGCGAAAGCGUGGGGAGCGAACAGG
rnacentral:rRNA from 1 species